GCUGAAGAUGCUCCCUGGAUCAUCCUUGCUUCUGUCCUUUCCAGCACAGAAACUUGCCUGAUGUGGGACAGCCAUCAGAGCCUGGCAGGCAGGCCACCAGCUGCCUUUCACCAACCACUGUGUGCCCCUCAGCUUCACUGCUGGCUUCACCCCUACUCACCCUCCACCAUCAUUUGCAGAGCUAGUCACGCUUAUUUUUAAAUGGAAAUCUUGUCAUCAUUCCUCUCCCCUGAAGACAAGGAGUGUGAGUAAGCCGGAGCUGAUCUCCUCCUUCAGAGCUGU
ensembl:lncRNA